UCCCUGGUGGUUUAGUGGUUAGGGCUCCACACUUCCAUUGCAAGGGACAUGGGUUCAAUUCCCAGUCAGGGAA
rnacentral:tRNA from 1 species